rnacentral:lncRNA from 1 species
CACAUCUUCAAGGUGUCCCGGCUCUCCGAGAACAAUGGCAAUCUGAAGCCACCAUAUCCCGGCAUUCCCAUGCAUACAACAGCGCAGCAGCGCCAUAUUUCCCUCUAGUAGUGAGAAACUCU